rnacentral:rRNA from 1 species
CCGGAUUUACUGGGCGUAAAGGGUGCGUAGGCGGUCUUUCAAGUCAGGAGUGAAAGGCUACGGCUCAACCGUAGUAAGCUCUUGAAACUGGGAGACUUGAGUGCAGGAGAGGAGAGUGGAAUUCCUAGUGUAGCGGUGAAAUGCGUAGAUAUUAGGAGGAACACCAGUUGCGAAGGCGGCUCGCUGGACUGUAACUGACGCUGAGGCACGAAAGCGUGGGGAGCAAACAGGAUUAGAUACCCUGGUAGUCCACGCUGUAAACGAUGAGUACUAGGUGUCGGGGGUUACCCCC